GAACUAACAGGGAAUUUUCGGAACGGCAAAACCUUAUGGACCAUCCGUUCAACGGAUGGUGGAUGGAGCUCUGUGGGAAGAGGGCAUUAGAUUGUAGAACAAUAAAGAUUCAUUAUAAUUUUGACCGAAGUCGAAGAAGGUUCUCAUUUAUUAAACUCAAUCAUAUCAAAAUACAUUGAAAACACCCAUUGGACUCAACUCUCAGUAUACUGGAAGCACCCAUUGGACUCGAUCCCCAGUAUACCUAGAUACUGUAAUUCGCGCGCAUAUUUGAAACUAUGAUAACUUAGAUUUAGGCUUGAAUAUAUAUUUGGAAACUUAACAUCUAAUGAAACCUUCAGUGGCUUUGACUUAAUAAUGCCUUUAAUGGCUGAGAUACUGGGGAAAUUGCGCAGCGAAAUCAAAGAGCGCUUGGAUGCUGUGUACGGUUGACUCCUCUCCUUCGAUGGCGACCGUCAAAAAUUGGUUUAACGAGUUUCAACGUGGUCGCAUGUCGGUUUUUGAUGAGCCACGCCCAGGUGCCCCGAAAACGGAAGAAGUUUGAGCAACCCUGGGUCAAGUGUAUCGAGCUAAGGAGAUUAUGUUGAGAAAUAAAUCGCCACUUUUCCAAUA